rnacentral:rRNA from 1 species
UAGGGAAUCUUCCGCAAUGGACGAAAGUCUGACGGAGCAACGCCGCGUGAGUGAAGAAGGAUUUCGGUUCGUAAAACUCUGUUGUUAGGGAAGAAAAAAUGUAUAGUAACUAUAUACAAAAGAGACGGUACCUAACCAGAAAGCCACGGCUAACUACGUGCCAGCAGCCGCGGUAAUACGUAGGUGGCAAGCGUUGUCCGGAAUUAUUGGGCGUAAAGCGCGCGCAGGUGGUUUAGAAAGUCUGAUGUGAAAGCCCACGGCUCAACCGUGGAGGGUCAUUGGAAACUAAUAAACUUGAGUGCAGGAGAGAAAAGUGGAAUUCCUAGUGUAGCGGUGAAAUGCGUAGAGAUUAGGAGGAACACCGGUGGCGAAAGCGGCCUUCUGGGCCACGACUGACGCUGAGGCGCGAAAGCUAGGGGAGCGAACAGG